rnacentral:lncRNA from 1 species
AAAUCACUGGCCAUCAGUAUCCCUGGAAGUCCCUAAGAAAGCCUUGCAGAAUCUGCAACUUGUUGGAAAUCUGAAACUGCCAAUAAAAUCAAUAUUGUGCCUGGAGUAGAUGAUAAAUCUGAAGAAAAAGAUUACUCCAUUGAUUCAGAGCUAAACACCGACACUGAACUCUGCUGUUAUAGAGCAUAUCAUACAGAAAGCUUAUCCAAGAGAAGUCCUAUCAUAUUCAUCAACAACGUCGAAAGUAGCCUACUUUAAGAGAAAAUAUGCAGAAGAAGAAGAUCUACAUCAAGAUUCCCAUGGGUAUUUUCCAAAACACCUGAUAUUACCGGAAGACAGGACUUGUAUCCUCAAACUUUCCCUGGAGAAGCUCAGGUUUCUUGAAGACCCAGAAACCUACCUAAGAAGGUCUGUGUUAAUUAACAAUUUGCUGAGGAAGAUACACCUAGAGACGGAGAAAGAGAGCUAUGAAUACUUCAAGGAAGCUCCCUGCUAUAAGACUGCUUAUUCUGAUACGAGAAAACGGCUGAAGUUUAUGGUACAGGAGUGCUGUUCCCAGUCUCUCUACUAUGAAGAGCUGCACUCCUACCACAUUGUGCCUUACACUUCGGAGAGUACCAUCUAUGGGAUGGGCUACACUGGUGACCACUUGGAGCAAAAUUCUCAGUUGCUCAUUUAUAAAAUGAAUUAAAAAGUAACUGUUAAGUUC